GAGGAGCAGACUCAGCAGCAGUCUCUCUCUCUCUCUCUCUCUCUCUCACACACACACACACACACAGAGAGAGAGAGAGAGAGAGAGAGAGAGAAAUUUUAGCUUCCUGGGGCAA